rnacentral:tRNA from 1 species
GCAAUGGUGGUUCAGUGGUAGAAUUCUUGCCCUCAGUGCAGGAGACCCAGGUUUAAUUUCUGGCCAUUGUA